rnacentral:rRNA from 1 species
UACGUAGGUGGCAAGCGUUAUCCGGAUUUACUGGGUGUAAAGGGCGAGUAGGCGGGAUUGCAAGUCAGAUGUGAAAACUAUGGGCUCAACCGAUAGAGUGCAUUUGAAACUGCAGUUCUUGAGUGAUGGAGAGGCAGGCGGAAUUCCAUGUGUAGCGGUGAAAUGCGUAGAUAUAUGGAGGAACACCGGUGGCGAAAGCGGCUCUCUGGCCUGUAACUGACACUGAGGCUCGAAAGCGUGGGGAGCAAACAGG